CAUAUCUCAGAAUGGCAGCUGGAGAGUUUCCAGUACUCUACCAGUCUCGGCUAGGGGAGGGAGAGUCGGGCAGGGGCCUACCCGUUCCAUUCCUAGCUUGGCAGUGGCUAGCAAAUGGAAGACAGUCUGCUACAAGU